CUCCUAUCUACUGUCUAGCGAACCCACUGCCAGGGGAACGGGCCUGGUUACGUCUGCGGGGAAAGAAGACCUGAUUGAGCUUGACUCUAGUUCGGCCUUGUGGAGCGACAUGAGAGGUGUAGCAUAAGUGGGAGGGCAACCCGACAAUGAAAUACCACUACUUUCAUGGUCGCUUCACUUACUCGGUGAAGCGGAGUGCGUUCCUUCGGGGACUCCAUUCUAGUGAUAAGCGAGCCCACCUGCGGGUGGCGCUUGCGAUCCGUGCUGAGGACAGUGCCGGAUGGGGAGUUUGACUGGGGGCGGUACAUCUGUCAAAUGAUAACGCAGGUGUCCUAAGGCCAGCUCAGGGAGGACAGAAACCUCCCGUAGAGCAAAAGGGCAAAUGCUGGCUUGAUCCCGAUUUUCAGUACGAAUACGGACUGCGAAAGCACGGCCUAUCGAUCCUUUUGGCUUUAUGAGUUUUAAACAAGAGGUGUCAAGAAAAGUACCACAGGGAUAAC
rnacentral:rRNA from 1 species